AUUGAACGCUGGCGGCAGGCCUAACACAUGCAAGUCGAGCGGAUGAAGGGAGCUUGCUCCUGGAUUCAGCGGCGGACGGGUGAGUAAUGCCUAGGAAUCUGCCUGGUAGUGGGGGAUAACGUCCGGACACGGGCGCUAAUACCGCAUACGUCCUGAGGGCGAACGUGGGGGAUCUUCGGACCUCACGCUCUCAGAUGAGCCUAGGUCGGAUUAGCUAGUUGGUGGGGUAAAGGCCUACCAAGGCGACGAUCCGUAACUGGUCUGAGAGGAUGAUCAGUCACACUGGAACUGAGACACGGUCCAGACUCCUACGGGAGGCAGCAGUGGGGAAUAUUGGACAAUGGGCGAAAGCCUGAUCCAGCCAUGCCGCGUGUGUGAAGAAGGUCUUCGGAUUGUAAAGCACUUUAAGUUGGGAGGAAGGGCAGUAAGUUAAUACCUUGCUGUUUUGACGGUACCAACAGAAUAAGCACCGGCUAACUUCGUG
rnacentral:rRNA from 1 species